CCUACGGGAGGCAGCAGUGAGGAAUAUUGGUCAAUGGACGAGAGUCUGAACCAGCCAAGUAGCGUGAAGGAUGACUGCCCUAUGGGUUGUAAACUUCUUUUAUAUGGGAAUAAAAUGUUCCACGUGUGGGAUUUUGUAUGUACCUUAUGAAUAAGGAUCGGCUAACUCCGUGCCAGCAGCCGCGGUAAUACGGAGGAUCCGAGCGUUAUCCGGAUUUAGUGGGUUUAAAGGGAGCGUAGGUGGAUUGUUAAGUCAGUUGUGAAAGUUUGCGGCUCAACCGUAAAAUUGCAGUUGAAACUGGCAGUCUUGAGUACAGUAGAGGUGGGCGGAAGUCGUGGUGUAGCGGUGAAAUGCUUAGAUAUCACGAAGAACUCCGAUUGCGAAGGCAGCUCACUGGACUGCAACUGACACUGAGGCUCGAAAGUGUGGGUAUCAAACAGGAUUAGAUACCCGAGUAGUC
rnacentral:rRNA from 1 species